rnacentral:rRNA from 1 species
UACGGAGGGUGCAAGCGUUAAUCGGAAUUACUGGGCGUAAAGCGUGCGCAGGCGGUUUGUUAAGUCUGCUGUGAAAUCCCCGAGCUCAACUUGGGAAUUGCAGUGGAUACUGGCAGGCUGGAGUAUGGUAGAGGAAGGUGGAAUUCCCGGUGUAGCAGCGAAAUGCGUAGAGAUCGGGAGGAACACCAGUGGCGAAGGCGGCCUUCUGGACCAAUACUGACGCUCAUGCACGAAAGCGUGGGGAGCAAACAGG